rnacentral:rRNA from 1 species
GAAUCUUGCGCAAUGGGCGAAAGCCUGACGCCGCCAUGCCGCGUGAAUGAUGAAGGUCUUAGGAUUGUAAAAAUCUUUCACCGGGGACGAUAAUGACGGUACCCGGAGAAGAAGCACCGGCUAACUUCGUGCAAGCAGCCGCGGAAAUACGAAGGGGACUAGCGUUGCUCGGAAUUAAUGGGAGUAAAGGGCGCGUAGGCGGAUCGUUAAGUCAGAGGUGAAAUCCCAGGGCUCAACCCUGGAACUGCCUUUGAUACUGGCGAUCUUGAGUAUGAGAGAGGUAUGUGGAACUCCGAGUGUAGAGGUGAAAUUCGUAAAUAUUCGGAAGAACACCAGUGGCGAAGGCGACAUACUGGCUCAUUACUGACGCUGAGGCGCGAAAGCGUGGGGAGCAAACA